AAUAAUGUGGUACGCGCGUAGGUACCCUCCAUUGUUCACGAACGGAGCCACCGGAGCAAGGUAUUCUCGUUUGCCCGGACGCCGCCGCGGACUCGUCGUCGAAACGCGGUUUCCCGUUCAACGAGAGGGAAGUACCCCCCUCCACUCUUUCCUACUCUUCCGAGUAGGGGAAAAUGGAGGAAAGGGGAAAAUUGAAAUCCGCCGCGAAUAUUUCGAUUAAACCGCCCGUAGACGAGAGGCGCGGAAUCUGGAGUUUGGCGA